rnacentral:misc_RNA from 1 species
AGCAGCCGCGGUAAUUCCAGCUCCAAUAGCGUAUAUUAAAGUUGUUGCAGUUAAAAAGCUCGUAGUUGAAUUUCGGGAUUGACACAUCGGUCGUGCCUUAAGGGGUAUGAACUGGUGUAGUCAAUUUCUCACCUUCUGGAGAACCGCGAUGCCCUUAAUUGGGUGUCGCGGGGAACCAGGACCUUUACUUUGAAAAAAUUAGAGUGUUUAAAGCAGGCAUUUUGCUUGAAUACAUUAGCAUGGAAUAAUAAAAUAGGACGGCAUGAUUCUAUUUUGUUGGUUUCUAGGAUCACCGUAAUGAUUAAUAGGGAUAGUUGGGGGCAUUAGUAUUCAAUUGUCAGAGGUGAAAUUCUUGGAUUUAUUGAAGACUAACUACUGCGAAAGCAUUUGCCAAGGAUGUUUUCAUUAAUCAAGAACGAAAGUUAGGGGAUCGAAGACGAUCAGAUACCGUCGUAGUCUUAACCAUAAACUAUGCCGACUAGGAAUCAGACGAUGUU